GUGGUUUAAGUGGGGGCUGGGAAAGCGAGAAUGGCGCGCUGAGAUGUGAAUCUGAAAAAGAGCAGCACCGGAGGCCACAGCUUCAGAAAGGAAUGGGGGCUGGCUCCCCGAGUCACAGCACAGAGGAGACUGAGAGUGAUGAUGGGUGACAUCAUCUCACUGAGUUCCAAGACCAGGCUUGAAUUUGAAAUCCCCCUGCCUCACCCACUUCAGUAGCUGAGAUGACUGGGCUUCGCCAUCUUGUCUGGCUCUCAGAGUGGGAACCCCUGAGAUUCAGAAUGCUGUCAUGAACAGGCUACAAUGCGCCCUGGAAGAGAUGGCAAGAACGAAUAGCUCAGGCAAGGUUUGUCACGGACAUUAACAUAGCAGAAAACAGAAGUGUCAGAGCCUGGGGUCUUCCGGGAGACGAAUGCCAUCGGAGUCUAACUUCUGCUUCACUCCUGAGAGAAUUCCCUUUUUUCCAUCUGGCCAACCAGCAAAGACAAUGCAUCCUAAGCUCUCUUAGGUGUGAGCGACACUCUAGAAACUUCUAAAGGGAGGCGGGCAGCUCUCCAGUGGGACAGGAAGAAGGAACAAGCUUUCAUGCCUCUUGUUUCAUUGCAGGCCAGGAAGGAGAAGCAAGCUGCUCACUUCCCUGAGGUCCCCCUGUCGCUGGAGCUAUUGGGUCACAGUCUGGCUUGCGAUCCAGCUACUGGGGGACUCAUGAUUAUGUCCGAUGAUACCCUCUAUGCCUGUGGCCCUCCUGAUGAACACACCAAGCAACUUCAGGCUUGCCCCAUGCUUGCGUCCUGUAAGACACUAACUAUUGCCCUGCCCUCUGGCCCUUCAGGGAGAGAAGGGAGCAAUGUUACAGGUGUGAGCAAUUGCAACUUCUGCCCCAUCACGUGGUUAUAAACGGACCUCGUUCACUGAUGCAACACACAUCUUGAGCAUCCUGAAGCGCAAGUAGCAUCUUUCUUUAAGGAGUUAAGUAGUCAAGCAGAUGGAAGAGACGUGGGAAGACGGAUUGAACGGAAGAUGCGGAUGGGUCUCAGGGAUGCUGGGUACCCAUGGUGGGGACAUCACCUCCAGGAGCCUGUGCUGCAUGUUCAGAAGUGUGACACUCAACUAUUCUGGACCAUCAGGGGGCCAUUUCAGCCACUAGAAUAUGAAAGGAGCCUAGAGAAUGGACCACGAUCUUAAUCAGACAGAUCUGAGGCCCCGCAUUCUUUCCGACCAAAGGGAAAUUCUUCAUCCUGGGCUGGCAGAGCUGGGAACAACUGGAGUGACUUAGGAAAGGAGUCCUUUAUAGAAACCGACUACCAUCGGGUACUUUAGUGAUGUCAAGGGCACACAAAGAAGGCUCCACUUUGCCUCUCCAUGCAAAUCAGAUCCGGCUACCAGAAAGGAAGGAAGCCCCGUGUUACAAAUGCAACCAUGAAGGAUGCGGGUUGUUACAGGGCAGCUCUCAACUGGGUGACAGAGGAAAGGCCACCUCAGGUAGCACUCCAACUAACCACUUGCUUUCCAGAUCUUCAGCACUCACCUGUUCUAUCUUAAUACAGCCCAAGGAUUAUGGUGAAAAUUAGCCAAAAAAAUAAAAAACACCCUAAACCAAAAAAACAACAUUAAACUUGUGCCAUAAUGCCAUAACUAAUUAACGCCCAAAUAAGCAAAAAGAAAACCAAGAUUAAGAAACAGAACCCAGCAGUAAAAACCAAGUCCUUGGCUUCUAUGAAGUACUCUCCUAUUUGGUUAUAAUAUUUCUUCUUCUGCAGUUUCACAAGGGGAUUAAUUGCCUUUUCAAACCUAGGGAAGGCAACCUGAGCCAUUCUCCUCCUCUGCAAUGCUGGGGAUUGCUAAUACAUGCCAUGGCAGGAAUAACAAAUGCUGGGUUGCUGGGCCCUCGCCCAUGAUUUAUGAAAGGUGUACCUCACUGUGGGAAGAUAAUGCCAUUUGAAAUGGUCCAUUUCAUAAAUCUAUCCCCCAGUCCCCAGCUACAUUGAGGACUCCUGUGAACUCCUGAAUCCAAUAAUGUUUUCAUACUCUAUGAUGAGAGAGAGGGAGAAACAGAGAGAGAGAGAGAGAGAGAGAGAGACUGGAGGAGUUACGAUGCCCUUGCAUGAGGCAGCAGCUAAUGCUCCACUCCAUCUCCAGGGCUUUCUGUGGCAAUGGUCACAGAGUUUCCAAAGUGGAGAAACUUGAAUAAACAAAAUAAAAUAAUCAACACCUACACCAUCCCUGAUGUCCUUUGGCUGUGAGUGGCAUUAAUUACAGCGUGGGCUCCAUCUUCCAGCAGCAACUCAGUGCUCUUCCUGAAGUCGCUCUCUAGCACGUGAGAGAUUUAUCCUUUGGAACCGGUGUAUUUCCUAUUCAUUCAUGCAUCAGCGCAGAAUAUCUGUUUGUUCGUGUAACUGCAAAAGAAGAUUCUCUGCCAAAUGUGAUGGCAGAGGCAGCCAGGGACCAAUCAUAAACCAGGGAAAUUCAUGGUCGUGAGUCUUUCUGGUCAUAAGACAGGUGAGAUAUAUGCACCCAUGCCAUGUGGGCUCCAGAAGACCCUUAUGAAAUACAAGCAGGGGACAGAAGCGGCUUCUUUGGGGUCCAGGGAAAUGGACAGCACCAACACAAAGACAGACUACAAAUGUGUGUGUCAUGUGACUUGCUAGAAGAGAGCCACGUGUGACACGGGCAUCAGCUCCUCACCAAAGAUUCUGAGAGAAGAGACAAAAGGCAUACAACAAUGACACACAGCCAUGGUGACAUGCGUGGCAUGCAGAGGGAAUGGGAAGAAAUCAGAGACUGGGCAAGAAGUGUUUUGUGAUCGCUAAAAAGUUUCUUUAAAGAAUUGACCUAGAUGUCUAUCCUAUGAUGAAUAGAUACCGAGUAUGUGAUACAUUUACACAACAGAGUUUUAUUCACAUGCAAGGGAAAACAAAGUUAUGGAAUUUGCAGGGAAAUAGAUGGAGCCAGAAUAUAGUAUACUGAGUAGGUGAUAGGCCCAGAAAGACAAACAUUGCAUGUUCUCCCUGAACACCGAUGAAUCAUUGCAGACUUGUCUAUUGAACUUGGAAUGCAUGUGCGAACUUGGGAGGGGGAAAGAGACAAUGGAGAGGAGGAAGAAGAGGCUCUUAAACGAGGGCAGUACCCUAUGUCAUCUGAAAACAGGGAGGGGGAUACCCAGAGAUGGUCGUGGGAAGUUGGGGAAAAGAGAAUGAGCUCAGGGUAACCCAAAAUUAAGGAGAUAGGAAGAAGCCACAUUGAAAGCUAGAAAUCUUAUAAGCUAAUUGGAAACUGUAACUUUAAAAGGGUUUGAAUGGAGGCACCCUGCAUUGGGGGGAGGUACUGAUGAUUCUAGGGUUUGAAUGGAGUCACCCUGUAUGAGGGGUACUGAUAAUUCUAGAAUUUGAAUGGAGGCACCCUGAAUGGGGGGGUACUGAUGAUUCUAGGAUUUGAAUAGAGGCACCCUGCAUGGUGGGUACUGAUGAUUCUAGGAUUUGAAUGGAGGCACCCUGCAUGGGAGGGUGUGUAUUGAUGAUUCUAUAAGUCAUUGAACAAAGUUAUUGAACAACAACAAAAACCUCAUGGGUGGGAGGAUUGGCACUCCAAGGCAAGCAAUGUGGCACCACCACAUUCCUACCAGUUAAAGACAGAUGGAUUUGAGAGCAUGGGAAAGAUGGGACAUGGGGUAAAAAUGACGCAACAAGGUGAAUUUGAAAAACUCCCAACAUGGGGUUCUCAUCCAGAUAUCCUGGAAUUUGCAUAUUUUGACUUGUAUUUUAAAAGCAGUUUCAAGGUCAGCUUCAGUAGAGAGACACUGAGCUAAGGUGGGAAAGCACCCCAUUAAAGGUCCAGCGGUGUUUUGCAUAUUUAUUUCCUUUCUUCUAUAGUGAGCGAUGACGACUCAUAAAUCAAAAAAAUCAGGGUAAACAAAUACCAUAGAGAUUAUUUUACACAGAAUGUAUACUCCCUCUUCUACCUAUUUAUACACACAAACAUUUCUAUUACUCGGAUUUAUAAAGUGUGUAAUACAUGCAUGAAUGCUUUAAAAUCUGCAUAUAUCUGCAUAUGAUAAAAAGAAGUAUAUUAUUGUCCCAAGUCUCCAAAGAC